rnacentral:rRNA from 1 species
UACGUAGGGCGCAAGCGUUGUCCGGAAUUAUUGGGCGUAAAGAGCUCGUAGGCGGCUUGUCGCGUCUGUUGUGAAAACCCGGGGCUCAACUCCGGGCUUGCAUUCGAUACGGGCAGGCUAGAGUUCGGUAGGGGAGUCUGGAAUUCCUGGUGUAGCGGUGAAAUGCGCAGAUAUCUGGAGGAAUACCGGUGGCGAAGGCGGCAUCCUGGACCGGCAUUGACGCUGAGGAGCGAAAGCUAGGGGAGCAAACGGG